CGUCUCCUCUCCCCUCCCUCAACACCAUUUCCUUCUGGGGUUCACCAUCAUCCUGGUGGGAGAAGUAAUGAGUAGAUUGAGUAAGAAAACAGCGUUACUGUGCAACGAGCUACAGUGCAGACCGGCACCCACCGGGUGAGAGGGCAGAGCACCUGAAGCCAGGAAGAACCAUCACUUACAGACCCCAGCAGAGGCAGCUGCCACAGGAGGGAAUCAUGACUACAGAC